CGUCUAAUACCGGAUAUGACCUGCCCCGGCAUCGGGUGUGGGUGGAAAGUUUUUCGGUCAAGGAUGGACUCGCGGCCUAUCAGCUUGUUGGUGAGGUAAUGGCUCACCAAGGCGACGACGGGUAGCCGGCCUGAGAGGGUGACCGGCCACACUGGGACUGAGACACGGCCCAGACUCCUACGGGAGGCAGCAGUGGGGAAUAUUGCACAAUGGGCGAAAGCCUGAUGCAGCAACGCCGCGUGGGGGAUGACGGCCUUCGGGUUGUAAACCUCUUUUAGUAGGGAAGAAGGGCUUCGGCUUGACGGUACCUGCAGAAAAAGCACCGGCUAACUACGUGCCAGCAGCCGCGGUAAUACGUAGGGUGCAAGCGUUGUCCGGAAUUAUUGGGCGUAAAGAGCUCGUAGGCGGUUUGUCGCGUCUGCUGUGAAAACCCGAGGCUCAACCUCGGGCCUGCAGUGGGUACGGGCAGACUAGAGUGCGGUAGGGGAGAAUGGAAUUCCUGGUGUAGCGGUGGAAUGCGCAGAUAUCAGGAGGAACACCGAUGGCGAAGGCAGUUCUCUGGGCCGUUACUGACGCUGAGGAGCGAAAGCGUGGGGAGCGAACAGGAUUAGAUACCCUGGUAGUCCACGCCGUAAACGUUGGGAACUAGAUGUGGGGACCUUUCCACGGUCUCCGUGUCGCAGCUAACGCAUUAAGUUCCCCGCCUGGGGAGUACGGCCGCAAGGCUAAAACUCAAAGGAAUUGACGGGGGCCCGCACAAGCGGCGGAGCAUGCGGAUUAAUUCGAUGCAACGCGAAGAACCUUACCAAGGCUUGACAUAUACCGGAAACUUCCAGAAAUGGUUGCCCCGCAAGGUCGGUAUACAGGUGGUGCAUGGUUGUCGUCAGCUCGUGUCGUGAGAUGUUGGGUUAAGUCCCGCAACGAGCGCAACCCUCGUUCUAUGUUGCCAGCACGUUAUGGUGGGAACUCAUAGGAGACUGCCGGGGUCAACUCGGAGGAAGGUGGGGAUGACGUCA
rnacentral:rRNA from 1 species